CCUACGGGAGGCAGCAGUGGGGAAUAUUGGACAAUGGGCGCAAGCCUGAUCCAGCCAUGCCGCGUGAGUGAUGAAGGCCCUAGGGUUGUAAAGCUCUUUCACCGGAGAAGAUAAUGACGGUAUCCGGAGAAGAAGCCCCGGCUAACUUCGUGCCAGCAGCCGCGGUAAUACGAAGGGGGCUAGCGUUGUUCGGAAUUACUGGGCGUAAAGCGCACGUAGGCGGAUACUUAAGUCAGGGGUGAAAUCCCAGAGCUCAACUCUGGAACUGCCUUUGAUACUGGGUAUCUCGAGUAUGGAAGAGGUGAGUGGAAUUCCGAGUGUAGAGGUGAAAUUCGUAGAUAUUCGGAGGAACACCAGUGGCGAAGGCGGCUCACUGGUCCAUUACUGACGCUGAGGUGCGAAAGCGUGGGGAGCAAACAGGAUUAGAUACCCCGGUAGUCCACGCCGUAAACGAUGAAUGUUAGCCGUCGGGUAGCAUGCUAUUCGGUGGCGCNGCUACGCAUAACUAUCCGUCCGUCGGGAGGUACGGUCGCGAAGAGUUAAACGUACAAGUAAGUAAGUUAGUUACGGCGUGAGACGUGCCGACGGCGACGACGAGGGAGGUUAGG
rnacentral:rRNA from 1 species